AGUGAACGCUGGCGGUAGGCCUAACACAUGCAAGUCGAACGGCAGCACAGUAAGAGCUUGCUCUUACGGGUGGCGAGUGGCGGACGGGUGAGGAAUACAUCGGAAUCUACUUUUUCGUGGGGUAUAACGUAGGGAAACUUACGCUAAUACCGCAUACGACCUACGGGUGAAAGCAGGGGAUCUUCGGACCUUGCGCGAUUGAAUGAGCCGAUGUCGGAUUAGCUAGUUGGCGGGGUAAAGGCCCACCAAGGCGACGAUCCGUAGCUGGUCUGAGAGGAUGAUCAGCCACACUGGAACUGAGACACGGUCCAGACUCCUACGGGAGGCAGCAGUGGGGAAUAUUGGACAAUGGGCGCAAGCCUGAUACAGCCAUACCGCGUGGGUGAAGAAGGCCUUCGGGUUGUAAAGCCCUUUUGUUGGGAAAGAAAAGCAGCAGGUUAAUACCCCGCUGUUCUGACGGUACCCAAAGAAUAAGCACCGGCUAACUUCGUG
rnacentral:rRNA from 1 species